AUUGAACGCUGGCGGCAGGCCUAACACAUGCAAGUCGAGCGAGCGGCGGACGGGUGAGUAAUGUCUGGGAAACUGCCUGAUGGAGGGGGAUAACUACUGGAAACGGUAGCUAAUACCGCAUACUAUCAGAUGAGCCUAGGUCGGAUUAGCUAGUUGGUGGGGUAAAGGCCUACCACGGCGACGAUCCCGAGCUGGUCUGAGAGGAUGACCAGCCACACUGGAACUGAGACACGGUCCAGACUCCUACGGGAGGCAGCAGUGGGGAAUAUUGCACAAUGGGCGCAAGCCUGAUGCAGCCACGCCGCGUGUGUGAAGAAGGCCUUCGGGUUGUAAAGCACUUUCAGCGGGGAGGCGUUACCCGCAGAAGAAGCACCGGCUAACUCCGUGCCAGCAGCCGCGGUAAUAC
rnacentral:rRNA from 1 species